rnacentral:rRNA from 1 species
CCAGACAGCCAGGAUGUUGGCUUAGAAGCAGCCAUCAUUUAAAGAAAGCGUAAUAGCUCACUGGUCGAGUCGGCCUGCGCGGAAGAUGUAACGGGGCUAAACCAUGCACCGAAGCUGCGGCAGCGACGCUGUGCGUUGUUGGGUAGGGGAGCGUUCUGUAAGCCUGUGAAGGUGUGCUGUGAGGCAUGCUGGAGGUAUCAGAAGUGCGAAUGCUGACAUAAGUAACGAUAAAGCGGGUGAAAAGCCCGCUCGCCGGAAGACCAAGGGUUCCUGUCCAACGUUAAUCGGGGCAGG